UCUUUCGCACGUACUGCCCCAGGCAGAGUGCUUAAUGCGUUAGCUGCAGCACUAAGGGGCGGAAACCCCCUAACACUUAGCACUCAUCGUUUACGGCGUGGACUACCAGGGUAUCUAAUCCUGUUCGCUCCCCACGCUUUCGCUCCUCAGCGUCAGUUACAGACCAGAGAGUCGCCUUCGCCACUGGUGUUCCUCCACAUCUCUACGCAUUUCACCGCUACACGUGGAAUUCCACUCUCCUCUUCUGCACUCAAGUUUCCCAGUUUCCAAUGACCCUCCCCGGUUGAGCCGGGGGCUUUCACAUCAGACUUAAGAAACCGCCUGCGAGCCCUUUACGCCCAAUAAUUCCGGACAACGCUUGCCUACCUACGUAUUACCGCGGCUGCUGGCACGUAGUUAGCCGUGGCUUUCUGGUUAGGUACCGUCAAGGUGCAAGCAGUUACUCUUGCACUUGUUCUUCCCUAACAACAGAGCUUUACGAUCCGAAAACCUUCAUCACUCACGCGGCGUUGCUCCGUCAGACUUUCGUCCAUUGCGGAAGAUUCCCUACUGCUGCCUCCCGUAGGAGUCUGGGCCGUGUCUCAGUCCCAGUGUGGCCGAUC
rnacentral:rRNA from 1 species